CCCUUAGAUGUUCUGGGCCGCACGCGCGCUACACUGAUGCAUUCAACGAGUUUCUUCCUGGUCCGAGAGGAAUUGGUAACCUUUUGAAAGUGCAUCGUGAUAGGGAUAGACUAUUGCAAUUAUUGGUCUUCAACGAGGAAUUCCUAGUAGACGUAGUUCAUCAGACUGCAUCGAUUACGUCCCUGCCCUUUGUACACACCGCCCGUCGCUCCUACCGAUUGAAUGCUCAGGUGAGCCAUUCGGACUUUCAUCAUGCUGGUUUCCAGUUUUGAUGAAGGAAAGUCUUGCGAACCUUAUCAUUUAGAGGAAGGAGAAGUCGUAACA
rnacentral:rRNA from 1 species